rnacentral:lncRNA from 1 species
UUUCUAUUGGAUUUCACAUUAGACUCAAAUCGAUUGAUUCUAUCAUAUGAUAGAUAUGAGGUUUGAUGAGUUCAUCUUGAUCUCGAUUUUAUCGGGACUUACAAUAGAAGAACCGAAUCACACGGUAACUGCACCUAGAGAUUCAUCCUUUAAUUCUGCAGGAUUGUCACUACAUACUGCUAGAUAUCACUAGUGGAUUGUGGGAUUAAUUAGAAUUAUUUCGAUGAUCAAUAAUUCUAAUUGACUAAAUUAUAAAGAAUUUUGAUGAUGUUGAUGAUAGAGAUCACAACAUAUCUUACUACCAGACAGAAUUGAACCUAUG